CAGUCGCCGGGAAUACGGAGGGUGCAAGCGUUAAUCGGAAUUACUGGGCGUAAAGCGCACGCAGGCGGUUUGUUAAGUCAGAUGUGAAAUCCCCGAGCUUAACUUGGGAACUGCAUUUGAAACUGGCAAGCUAGAGUCUUGUAGAGGGGGGUAGAAUUCCAGGUGUAGCGGUGAAAUGCGUAGAGAUCUGGAGGAAUACCGGUGGCGAAGGCGGCCCCCUGGACAAAGACUGACGCUCAGGUGCGAAAGCGUGGGGAGCAAACAGGAUUAGAUACCCCAGUAGUCCCUGUCUCUUAUACAC
rnacentral:rRNA from 1 species